rnacentral:rRNA from 1 species
CACGUAGGGCGCGAGCGUUGUCCGGAAUUAUUGGGCGUAAAGAGCUCGUAGGCGGCCUGUUGCGUCCGCUGUGAAAGCCCGGGGCUUAACCCCGGGUCGGCAGUGGAUACGGGCAGACUAGAGUGCGGUAGGGGAGAUCGGAAUUCCUGGUGUAGCGGUGAAAUGCGCAGAUAUCAGGAGGAACACCGGUGGCGAAGGCGGAUCUCUGGGCCGUAACUGACGCUGAGGAGCGAAAGCAUGGGGAGCGAACAGG